rnacentral:rRNA from 1 species
AAGAUGAAUCAAAGAAGGUAAUAAUCCUGUAGUCGAAAAUGUUGUCUCUCUUGAGUGGAUCCUGAGUACGACGGAGCACGUGAAAUUCCGUCGGAAUCUGGGAGGACCAUCUCCUAAGGCUAAAUACUCUCUAGUGACCGAUAGUGAACCAGUACCGUGAGGGAAAGGUGAAAAGCACCCCGGAAGGGGAGUGAAAUAGAACCUGAAACCGUGUGCUUACAAGUAGUCAGAGCCCGUUAAUGGGUGAUGGCGUGCCUUUUGUAGAAUGAACCGGCGAGUUACGAUUUGAUGCAAGGUUAAGCAGUAAAUGUGGAGCCGUAGCGAAAGCGAGUCUGAAUAGGGCGUUUAGUAUUUGGUCGUAGACCCGAAACCAGGUGAUCUACCCUUGGUCAGGUUGAAGUUCAGGUAACACUGAAUGGAGGACCGAACCGACUUACGUUGAAAAGUGAGCGGAUGAACUGAGGGUAGCGGAGAAAUUCCAAUCGAACCUGGAGAUAGCUGGUUCUCUCCGAAAUAGCUUUAGGGCUAGCCUCAAGUGAUGAUUAUUGGAGGUAGAGCACUGUUUGGACGAGGGGCCCCUCUCGGGUUACCGAAUUCAGACAAACUCCGAAUGCCAAUUAAUUUAACUUGGGAGUCAGAACAUGGGUGAUAAGGUCCGUGUUCGAAAGGGAAACAGCCCAGACCACCAGCUAAGGUCCCAAAAUAUAUGUUAAGUGGAAAAGGAUGUGGCGUUGCCCAGACAACUAGGAUGUUGGCUUAGAAGCAGCCAUCAUUUAAAGAGUGCGUAAUAGCUCACUAGUCGAGUGACACUGCGCCGAAAAUGUACCGGGGCUAAACAUAUUACCGAAGCUGUGGAUUGUCCUUUGGACAAUGGUAGGAGAGCGUUCUAAGGGCGUUGAAGCAUGAUCGUAAGGACAUGUGGAGCGCUUAGAAGUGAGAAUGCCGGUGUGAGUAGCGAAAGACGGGUGAGAAUCCCGUCCACCGAUUGACUAAGGUUUCCAGAGGAAGGCUCGUCCGCUCUGGGUUAGUCGGGUCCUAAGCUGAGGCCGACAGGCGUAGGCGAUGGAUAACAGGUUGAUAUUCCUGUACCACCUAUAAUCGUUUUAAUCGAUGGGGGGACGCAGUAGGAUAGGCGAAGCGUGCGAUUGGAUUGCACGUCUAAGCAGUAAGGCUGAGUAUUAGGCAAAUCCGGUACUCGUUAAGGCUGAGCUGUGAUGGGGAGAAGACAUUGUGUCUUCGAGUCGUUGAUUUCACACUGCCGAGAAAAGCCUCUAGAUAGAAAAUAGGUGCCCGUACCGCAAACCGACACAGGUAGUCAAGAUGAGAAUUCUAAGGUGAGCGAGCGAACUCUCGUUAAGGAACUCGGCAAAAUGACCCCGUAACUUCGGGAGAAGGGGUGCUCUUUAGGGUUAACGCCCAGAAGAGCCGCAGUGAAUAGGCCCAAGCGACUGUUUAUCAAAAACACAGGUCUCUGCUAAACCGUAAGGUGAUGUAUAGGGGCUGACGCCUGCCCGGUGCUGGAAGGUUAAGAGGAGUGGUUAGCUUCUGCGAAGCUACGAAUCGAAGCCCCAGUAAACGGCGGCCGUAACUAUAACGGUCCUAAGGUAGCGAAAUUCCUUGUCGGGUAAGUUCCGACCCGCACGAAAGGCGUAACGAUUUGGGCACUGUCUCAACGAGAGACUCGGUGAAAUCAUAGUACCUGUGAAGAUGCAGGUUACCCGCGACAGGACGGAAAGACCCCGUGGAGCUUUACUGUAGCCUGAUAUUGAAAUUCGGCACAGCUUGUACAGGAUAGGUAGGAGCCUUUGAAACGUGAGCGCUAGCUUACGUGGAGGCGCUGGUGGGAUACUACCCUAGCUGUGUUGGCUUUCUAACCCGCACCACUUAUCGUGGUGGGAGACAGUGUCAGGCGGGCAGUUUGACUGGGGCGGUCGCCUCCUAAAAGGUAACGGAGGCGCUCAAAGGUUCCCUCAGAAUGGUUGGAAAUCAUUCAUAGAGUGUAAAGGCAUAAGGGAGCUUGACUGCGAGACCUACAAGUCGAGCAGGGUCGAAAGACGGACUUAGUGAUCCGGUGGUUCCGCAUGGAAGGGCCAUCGCUCAACGGAUAAAAGCUACCCCGGGGAUAACAGGCUUAUCUCCCCCAAGAGUUCACAUCGACGGGGAGGUUUGGCACCUCGAUGUCGGCUCAUCGCAUCCUGGGGCUGUAGUCGGUCCCAAGGGUUGGGCUGUUCGCCCAUUAAAGCGGUACGCGAGCUGGGUUCAGAACGUCGUGAGACAGUUCGGUCCCUAUCCGUCGUGGGCGUAGGAAAUUUGAGAGGAGCUGUCCUUAGUACGAGAGGACCGGGAUGGACAUACCUCUGGUGUACCAGUUGUCGUGCCAACGGCAUAGCUGGGUAGCUAUGUGUGGACGGGAUAAGUGCUGAAAGCAUCUAAGCAUGAAGCCCCCCUCAAGAUGAGAUUUCCCAACUUCGGUUAUAAGAUCCCUCAAAGAUGAUGAGGUUAAUAGGUUCGAGGUGGAAGCAUGGUGACAUGUGGAGCUGACGAAUACUAAUCGAUCGAAGACUUAAUCAA